CGUUGAGCCAUCACUGGACAUAACCAGAAUCCAAAGUCUGUUCCCUCCUAAGUAUUAGGCAGGAGUCAGACUUGCUCUUUUAAUCUCUUCUGCUAUCCAGUGGUGCCUGCAGAAAUACAGGCCUUCCUCAGAAGUCUUAAUCUCUUGAUCCCUAAGAAUACAGUCUCCAACAAAACCUCACAUAAGGCCCACUUCUGGUGCAGCAGAGUCCAGCCCUUAUUUCUGCAGUAUUGGCAUCCACACACCUACAUAUCUGCAGCACUAGCUGUUAUACUAUCUGCCGUUAUAUAAAAAAUUCUUUGCUUCAGGGUGCUUAUGAGGUAAGAUGGGUUGAUCUUAUAGGCAGAGAGAACUAAUACCCUAGUCUUCAGAGGUACCUAAAUAACCAAAUACGACCAAUUUACCAGUUCACCAACUUGGACUACACGGCUUCUUGUUUGGAGCUGGCUUGCACUCAGAUUGCUUGGAGUGAGCACAGGUCCACCUGCAAAGUAUCAUUUAUAUAGAUUCUCAAGUCAGUCUACAAGUUAAAUAAGGGAUAGAGAGAUCACACAAGCAACAGGAAGUCUGCAGGAGCACAUCUGGAAAAGAUACAACACUAAAGGACCCAACGUUAAAACGAAAACAAAAAAUCCACAAACCCAAUGAGUAGAAUAGAUCUGUGAAGUACUAUUUUAUGGGCACGCUUCAGAAAAAGAACACCAUUGUUCCUGCCUCAUUUUCUGUGCAUCUGCAACUCCUGUGAUCAACAACACACAGCUCUGUAUAUUGAACCACCCUUUGCACUGCAGGACAGAUCCUUCCUUCACACUGAACAAGGCAAAGACCCCAUGGAAAACACUCAAUGAAAUCAAUUAAAGAACAUAUCACAUGAUAUAAGAAGAUAAGAAGAAAAAUGUAACUCCCACCAAGAUCAAAACCGCCUUCAUAGUCCAGUGACUGCAAGCGGGUCUUAGAAGCCGGCGUCAUGGCUGCUUCUGGUAUCACAUUCUUGAUUGCUUUAUGCUUUGUCACGCUGUUUUUAUGUGCAAGGAGUUUCUUAAUUGUGUCCUUAGCUGUUCCAGGGAUUCUUGGAAUUUCCUUCACUGAUUUUUCUGGAAUAGCAGCACAAUCAAAUCCAUUUCCUUGGUAGCCCUGAUUACAUUUGCAUUUGAAGGAUCCCUCUGUGUUGAGGCACUCUGCGUGGAGGUUACACCUGUGUGCGGUUGUCACACAUUCAUUUACAUCUACACAGUCAUAAUGGCCACUGAUGUAUUUCAGCUCAUAACCAAGCUGGCACUUGCAGUAGUAGCUUCCAAAUGUGUUGACACAUCUGCGAUUGAAAGAGCAGACAGCUCUGCCAGUGGAGCAUUCAUCAAUAUCAAUGCAUGUCCUUCCAUUUGGUCCCAAAUGGAGGCCAACUGAUGGACAAAGACACUGUACCUCCUCUUUGACUUCCUCACAUCCGUACUGGCAAUUCGCAAUGGCACAUGUCCUAGAGCUUGCACAUGUGCCAUCUGGCAUGAGCAUGUAGCCGUUGAGACAAUAGCACUUGUAGCUGCCAUGUGUAUUCAUGCAUCUGUGUUCACAGGGACGUGGUUUCAGUCCACAUUCAUUCAGAUCUUGAUUACAGGUUUUUCCUGUAAAUCCAGGGUAACAUUUGCAUUUGUUUGGUCCCAUGCAUUCUCCAUACUUGCAGCCAUGUCCACAGAUAGCUUCACAGCGGCCCUUGUUGUUCUUUUUCCAGCCAUAACAGCAAUCCAGCCUAGAACCAUAGCGACACACCCCUGGCUGGCUCACAGUCACCAGCUGCCCACGAGCUCUUGAGCUGCCCGCGGCGGCCAGCGCGGCGGCGAGGAAGGCGGCGAGCAGGGCGCCCCCGGGCGCCGGCACCAUGGCCCGGCCGCGGCCGGUGAUACAGCAGACGCGACAGGCGGAGGCUCUGCUAGCGCUAAGGCAGCGGGCGGC
rnacentral:lncRNA from 1 species